GUACGGAGGAUGCAAGCGUUAUCCGGAUUUAUUGGGUUUAAAGGGUGCGCAGGCGGUUUGCUAAGCGGGAGGUGAAAUGCCGGCGCUCAACGUCGGAAGUGCCUACCGAACUGGGGGACUUGAAUGACUCUGCCGUGGGAGGAAUGUGUAGUGUAGCGGUGAAAUGCUUAGAGAUUACACAGAACACCGAUUGCGAAGGCAUCUCACGAAGGGUUGAUUGACGCUGAGGCACGAAAGCGUGGGGAUCAAACAGGAUUAGAUACCCUGGUAGUCCACGCAGUAAACGAUGAUGGCUAACCGCUGGAUCCAUCGGUUCAGUGGCCAAGCGAAAGCGAUAAGCCAUCCACCUGGGGAGUACGACCGCAAGGUUGAAACUCAAAUGAAUUGACGGGG
rnacentral:rRNA from 1 species